rnacentral:lncRNA from 1 species
UUUUUUUUCUCCUGCCCAGCAGUGCGCUGCUGCUGCAAACGCAUAGGAACCAUAGGGCAAAUACCUACAACCACCAAAUGGCACAAUCACAGCACUCAGCCACUGCAGUCCCUAAUGACCACCUCCCCAGCAGUUUUCAGAGCCAUCCCUUUUGCUAUGGGUGAGGUAUCUGACAGGGAAAGGUUUGGGUCACAGGCCAGGCCACCCCCAGGCUGGUUAAGGACACCCAGGGUGGGGACAAGUAUUACAAGAAAAGCACUGCAGGAGAUCAUUUCCGAACCAUGCUGAGAUUACACCCAACACAACAGGUUGCCAGUGACCGAGCAGUGAAAUCAUGUAGCAUUGCAACCUCUGUCAUGCAGUGCCAGUGAGGAAAGCCCCCAUGACAUAGGCCUUGUCAAAGCAUCUCUCCUGUUUUUCAGGAUGCUCCAGUGAAGCUCAUCCUCAACUGCUGAAUGGCUGAGAUGCUAAGGUAAAGAUCAUGACCUUUCCUGAGAGGAGAUGGGACACUGCAGGCCCUUGAUCACCCCUGGAAAAGAUCCUACCAUCAACCUGCUGAAGACCUGGUUCUGGUAUCACCAGCUCCAUCCCAGAACGGGGGCAUGUGUAAUGCAGAACACUGUUACAGAAAACACAUGGAAAAACAUAUCCCCAGUGGUUUGGGUGAGAAGAAAGUUAACAUCAGCCCUAAAACAUAUGAAACAAAAAGGAAAGUCUAACAUCUUUCCACUUGAAAAUGGUGAGCUUUCUUGUUGUCAUUUGGCUGAUUGCCAAGCUUUACCAGCUGGGUGCUACAGGGUAACAGGGAGCAUGGCAACACAGACUUGCAGGUCUCUCAUCAGCCACGCUAUUCACUAUGCCUAG